rnacentral:rRNA from 1 species
AGUGAACGCUGGCGGUAGGCCUAACACAUGCAAGUCGAACGGCAGCACAGUAAGAGCUUGCUCUUACGGGUGACGAGUGGCGGACGGGUGAGGAAUACAUCGGAAUCUACUUGUUCGUGGGGGAUAACGUAGGGAAACUUACGCUAAUACCGCAUACGACCUACGGGUGAAAGCAGGGGAUCUUCGGACCUUGCGCGAUUGAAUGAGCCGAUGUCGGAUUAGCUGGUUGGCGGGGUAAAGGCCCACCAAGGCGUCGAUCCGUAGCUGGUCUGAGAGGAUGAUGAGCCACACUGGAACUGAGACACGGUACAGACACCUACGGGAGGCAGAAGUGGGGAAUAUUGGACGAUGGGCGCAAGCCUGAUCCAGCCAUACAGCGUGGGUGAAGAAGGCCUUCGGGUUGUAAAGCCCUUUUGUUGGGAAAGAAAAGCAGCAGGUUAAUCCCCCGCUGUUCUGACGGUACCCAAAGAAUAAGCACCGGCUAACUUCGUG